rnacentral:rRNA from 1 species
GACGAACGCUGGCGGCGUGCUUAACACAUGCAAGUCGAACGGUAAGGCCCUUUCGGGGGUACACGAGUGGCGAACGGGUGAGUAACACGUGGGUGAUCUGCCCUGCACUUUGGGAUAAGCCUGGGAAACUGGGUCUAAUACCGGAUAGGACUACGCGAUGCAUGUCGUGUGGUGGAAAGCUUUUGCGGUGUGGGAUGGGCCCGCGGCCUAUCAGCUUGUUGGUGGGGUGAUGGCCUACCAAGGCGACGACGGGUAGCCGGCCUGAGAGGGUGUCCGGCCACACUGGGACUGAGAUACGGCCCAGACUCCUACGGGAGGCAGCAGUGGGGAAUAUUGCACAAUGGGCGCAAGCCUGAUGCAGCGACGCCGCGUGGGGGAUGACGGCCUUCGUGUUGUAAACCCCUUUCAGCACAGACGAAGCGUAAGUGACGGUAUGUGCAGAAGAAGCACCGGCCAACUACGU